rnacentral:rRNA from 1 species
GUGGAAGGCGGUGUCCAAGUCCCUUGGAACAGGGCGCCCAGGAGGGUGAGAGCCCCGUGGGAUGCCGGCGGAAGCAGUGAGGCCCUUCUGACGAGUCGAGUUGUUUGGGAAUGCAGCUCCAAGCGGGUGGUAAAUUCCAUCUAAGGCUAAAUACUGGCGAGAGACCGAUAGCGAACAAGUACUGUGAAGGAAAGAUGAAAAGCACUUUGAAAAGAGAGUGAAACAGCACGUGAAAUUGUUGAAAGGGAAGGGUAUUGCGCCCGACAUGGGGAUUGCGCACCGCUGCCUCUCGUGGGCGGCGCUCUGGGCUUUCCCUGGGCCAGCAUCGGUUCUUGCUGCAGGAGAAGGGGUUCUGGAACGUGGCUCUUCGGAGUGUUAUAGCCAGGG